rnacentral:rRNA from 1 species
UACGUAGGGUGCGAGCGUUGUCCGGAAUUAUUGGGCGUAAAGGGCUCGUAGGCGGUCUGUCGCGUCGGGAGUGAAAACUCAGGGCUUAACCCUGAGCCUGCUUCCGAUACGGGCAGACUAGAGGUAUGCAGGGGAGAACGGAAUUCCUGGUGUAGCGGUGGAAAUGCGCAGAUAUCAGGAGGAACACCGGUGGCGAAGGCGGUUCUCUGGGCAUUACCUGACGCUGAGGAGCGAAAGUGUGGGGAGCGAACAGGAUUA